AAUCAACGCUGGCGGCGUGCCUCAGACAUGCAAGUCGAACGAUUAAGACUCUCUUCGGAGAGUGUAUAAAGUGGCGCACGGGUGAGUAACACGUAGGUAAUGUACCGAAGGGUGGGGAAUAACUUAGGGAAACUUAAGCUAAUACCGCAUAAUGCAGCGGCUCGACAUCGAGACAGUUGUUAAAGGAGCAAUCCGCCUUUUGAGCAGCCUGCGGCAGAUUAGCUAGUUGGUAAGGUAAUGGCUUACCAAGGCUACGAUCUGUAACCGACCUGAGAGGGUGGUCGGUCACACUGACACUGAAUAACGGGUCAGACUCCUACGGGAGGCAGCAGUCGGGAAUUUUGGGGCAAUGGGCGAAAGCCUGACCCAGCAACGCCGCGUGAAGGAUGAAGUAUUCGGUAUGUAAACUUCGUAAGAAUGGGAAGAAUAAAUGACGGUACCAUUUAUAAGCUCCGGCUAACUACGUGCCAGCAGCCGCGGUAAU
rnacentral:rRNA from 1 species